rnacentral:rRNA from 1 species
ACAGCAGCCGCCACGGUAAUACGUAGGGCGCAAGCGUUAUCCGGAAUUAUUGGGCGUAAAGAGCUCGUAGGCGGUUUGUCGCGUCUGCCGUGAAAGUCCGGGGCUCAACCCCGGAUCUGCGGUGGGUACGGGCAGACUAGAGUGAUGUAGGGGAGACUGGAAUUCCUGGUGUAGCGGUGAAAUGCGCAGAUAUCAGGAGGAACACCGAUGGCGAAGGCAGGUCUCUGGGCAUUAACUGACGCUGAGGAGCGAAAGCAUGGGGAGCGAACAGGAUUAGAUACCCGCGUAGUCCCUGUCUCUUAUAC